UUACGACCAUAUGACAUUGAAACAUUGGUGCUCGUAUGAUCACCAAAGUUAAGCAAUGUCGAGCCUGGUCAGUACCUAAAUGGGUAACCACCUGGGGAUACCAGGUGCUGUAAG